GCUAAUACCGGAUAACAACAGAUGAUGCCUAUCAACUGUUUAAAAAGAAUGGUUCUGCUAUCACUCUUGGAUGGACCUGCGGUGCAUUAGCUAGUUGGUAGGGUAACGGCCUACCAAGGCGAUGAUGCAUAGCCGAGUUGAGAGACUGAUCGGCCACAUUGGGACUGAGACACGGCCCAAACUCCUACGGGAGGCAGCAGCA
rnacentral:rRNA from 1 species